CACUGGAACUUGGAAGGAAGAUGGAAGAUACCUUGGAGGGCUUUAGGAAGCCUCCGAGUCCCAGAGUUAACCAACAGCACGGUCACAUAAUGCAAAGACAAUGAAAAGUAUCUUGUCGGGUGGCACUUUCCAUCCCUAGGACACAUUGUCCGUCUGGAGGAAAUGCAUGCCCGGACCUCCAGAAUAUUGACCCUGAAUUCCAUCUCCAGAUCUUCCUGGAAAAUCUAUACCUGGCUGCCUGCAUCUUGGAAUUGCUUUCAACCACAGGCCUCUGCUUUUGAGAACAAAGCAGCAUGAGAGGGUCCAGCCCUCUAUUGCUCAGGUUCUGGGUAAAGAGAGCCAUGUGGGCCAAGACUCAUGUGGAGAUCAGAAGACAACCUGGAGAAGUUGGUUUCCUCUUUCUACCAUGUGGACCAGAGAGCUGGAAUUGAUGUUAUCAGUGUGAGCUUCGAGUGUCUGAAGAGUCAUGGAUUGCAGCAGUGCUGAGCUGCUGUGUGCUCUGAGUUCUUUCUUCCAUCGCAGACUAAAAACCGAAGUCAGCAAACCACUGCCAGCUGCUGGAAUUCCACUGGUACCUGGUUGAUAGGGCCCAUACAGGAAUACCACUUACUGAUCAGUCUUAAGUACAGC
rnacentral:lncRNA from 1 species